UUUUAAUCAUUCUAAGUAAAUACCUUUAUGCUUCAGCAUUAAUGUUAGACCAACGCACCUUUCUGCUUGAACAAUUUGGUACCUCCACAAAGUACCUAAUUAUUCACUCUGGUAAUAUUCAGAUUCUUCAUCACAAAAAUGCAUAUGACCAUUUUACUGUUCCUGGUAUGGUAAAGUUAUCCAAACAUAUAAAAAGAAAUGUUUUGUAAACAAAAUCCUCAGUUUGUAAAAUGCAUCUGUUCAGCAUGCAAUAAGAUCCACAAGCUGCUGACCAGCGCCUUGUUUCUGGACAUCACAGCCAAAACAUAAAGUGCUGAAUGCUAUAAUGCAAAGUCUAAAUAGACUGCUGUGUUGAACCCACUUUGAAACAGGCGUGCAGAGGACAAAUGGGGAAUCAAGAAUCCAUGGGCACUCUUUCAUUUUUAAACUGUAUUCUUAUUCUUUCUUACUCACAAACGUUUUACAGCUUUUCAGUAUGUCUUCACUCAUCAGCUCACCCGCCCACAGUCUUCAGCCUUGCAUGACUGCUGUUGUGAAACUACCUCUGCCACCAGCACAAGGAAAUGGGAACACAGACAUCACCUCAUGCAGUAGUUUUCCACUCAUCAUAUUCCAACACACUUCAGAAGCUCAUAAUGAUUAACAACAGCCUGAGAAUAAAGUUGGACCCUCCAAACACUUAAAACCACAGCUCAGCACUACCUUCUCCAGCACACACUGUGGCAGCUGGACAGAGAAUGGACUCUCAGACAGAGCUACUCAAGAUCAUCUGUGAGACUUGCAACAUACCUUGAACUAAGCUUUUACUUCAGUCUCGACUCCCUGAAGCUGCUUCACACCACAGCAGAUCUUCCCAUCACUUCUCAAUUUCCCCUGCGAUACCACCCUUGGCAGUUUUCUGACUGCAGAGCGUUUCAGUCCUUCAGAAGUGCCACAGCUCACCAAAACCCAGCUAGUGCCUCCCACUUCAAAUUCUUGGCAUGGAGGAAAUGGUGGUGGAAACAAUCCUGGCACCAUGGGAAAUACUGCUGGUCAUUUGUGCUGCAGUGCUGAUCAUGAGCUUCCUUAUGGUCCUACCCCCUGCAGUCGUGGUGAUCUGGAGAAUGAAGCAUGUGCCUCAGAUCUCACUGCAUGGCUCGGUGUGAGCCAGCCACGCAUUCUUUGAAAAGCUGCUUCAGAACUAUGAAAUCUCUCAGGAUCACUGUUACUGCUCAUGGUCCAUCCCAAACUUGCUGUUUUCCUGUUCCACUGCUGUUAAGUCCCAGUAAAAAGAGAAUGUGUUGAAUUUUGUCUUCAUUUGCUGCAGCACUUUGCCUUUGAUUUUUUGGCUACACUGUAUGACUAUUGGUAAAAUAGAUAGUUCCUACAUUGUCUUUCAUUAUAAUGAACUGAAAACAAUACUGAAAAGUAAGCACUGUACAGUAUUGUAUUCCCUUAACUAGUACCAGUAAAGUCUGCCUCUCUAUAAUUACACUGCAAAUAUUACCAAAGCCUUUGAGAUGAUUGACAAGUUGUGGAUGUAUCAAAGUAAGCAGUAUAGUCUGAGGAGCUGCUGGUUUGGUCUGGUUGUACUAUGAAUCUUUCUGAUUUGAAACUGUUGGCAUAUUCCUUGUUGCUUUACUGCUAUAUGAAUUUUCUUCUCUUUGCUAAAUCCUGAGUGUCAGAAUGCAAAGCCCUUCCCACUCCAGGGCUGGAACAAGAGGCUUAGCCCAAUGCUCAGACAUGCCCAGCCAGACGCCAGCCUGUAGUUAAUACAAACAUACGGCAACUAUUUCCCUGAAUUACAUUAUGCAAAUUCAGUGUGGGAAAUAAUGUCAUUAAAUUUUCUUUAGUUUUUAACUGUGUAGUACAGGCUUAUUGGUUCAACUGCUCCUUCACACAUAUAAAUAAUAACUUGGACGGUGGGAAUAGAACAAAGCAACUUCUCUGUAAUUUUAUAACAAUAAUAAUUUUCAGCUUAAUAUCAAAUUCAUACAGUAUCAUAUUAAAGCUUUCCAGCCUAUUUCUUCCACAUUAAGUGAAGCUUCUUAGUAAGAUUCUUUAUGCAAAGAUUUAGCAGUUUCUAUUAGUUUACAAGAACAAUGGGCUUGAGUCCCUUACGAGGUCCAAUACUGUGUUUCUUUUCCUUUGUUAGUUGGUUUUGAAAGUUGCUAGAUUAGCUCAAUAAAACUCAGAGAAAAUUAUUUUUAGUACCA
ensembl:lncRNA